UAGGAUGGGGCGUCAGCCUGCUAGUCGUGCGCGUCCAACCAUGAGGACGAGCGGCAGACCGCUCAGUAACACGUAGCUAACCUAACCUUAGGACGUGGAUAACCCCGGGAAACUGGGGCUAAUCCGCGAUAGGUAUGAAGGCCUGGAAUGGUUUCAUGCCAAAUGGCACAGCAAUCAUGUUUGUUUUGUGCCUAAGGAUGGGGCUGCGGCCGAUCAGGCAGUUGGCGAGGUAACGGCUCACCAAACCUUUGACCGGUACGGGCCAUGAAAGUGGUAGCCCGGAGAUGGGCACUGAGACAGGGGCCCAGGCCCUACGGGGCGCAGCAGGCGCGAAAACUCCACACUGUACGAAAGUACGAUGGGGUUAUCUCGAGUGCAGUCCGAUAAGGGCUGCUUUUCCAUAGAGUAAUAUCCUGUGGGAAUAAGAGGGGGGCAAGACUGGUGUCAGCCGCCGCGGUAACACCAGCCCCUCGAGUGGUGGGGACUUUUAUUUGGCCUAAAGCGUCCGUAGCUGGCUGUAUCCGUCCCCCGUUAAAUCCAGCGUCCUAAACGUUGGACUGCGGGUGAUACCAUACAGCUAGAGGGUGGGAUAGGUGAGCGGUAUUUCUGGGGUAGGGGCGAAAUCCUUUGAUCCCAGGAGGACCACCAGUGGCGAAGGCUGCUCACUAGAACACGCCUGACGGUCAGGGACGAAAGCUGGGGCAGCGAACCGGAUUAGAUACCCGGGUAGUCCCAGCUGUAAACGAUGCUAGCUAGGUGUUGGGUCGGCCACGUGCCGCCCCAGUGCCGCAGGGAAGCCGUUAAGCUAGCCGCCUGGGGAGUACGGCCGCAAGGCUGAAACUUAAAG
rnacentral:rRNA from 1 species